AUGUUACUCCCUCCGUCCGGAAAUACUUGUCCGAGGAAUGGAUGUAUCUAGAUGUAUUUUAGUUCUAGAUACAUCCAUUUGUAUCCAUUUCUACGACAAGUAUUUUCGGAUGGAGGGAGUAUUUA
rnacentral:pre_miRNA from 1 species